UUCGCAAUGCCCGAAAGGGUGACGAAGCGACGCCGCGUGUGGGAAGAAGGCCUUCGGGUUGUAAACCACUGUCAGGAGUUGGGAAGUGCAGGAGCGUUAAUAGCGUUCUUGCUUGACUAAGGCUCCAGAGGAAGCCACGGCUAACUCUGUGCCAGCAGCCGCGGUAAUACAGAGGCGGCAAGCGUUGUUCGGAAUUAUUGGGCGUAAAGAGCACGUAGGCGGCCUUGCAAGUCAGUUGUGAAAGCCUUCCGCUCAACGGAAGAAUGCCAGCUGAUACUACAGGGCUUGAGUACGGGAGGGGAGAGUGGAACUUCUGGUGGAGCGGUGAAAUGCGUAGAUAUCAGAAGGAACGCCGGCGGCGAAAGCGACUCUCUGGCCCGAAACUGACGCUGAGUGUGCGAAAGCUAGGGGAGCAAACGGGAUUAGAUACCCCGGUAGUCCUAGCCGUAAACGAUGGGCACUAAGUAGAGGGGUUUU
rnacentral:rRNA from 1 species